rnacentral:lncRNA from 1 species
GUUGGCAGCUUCCCUGAAUUCCUUCUAUGAUAUAAUUUGUAAUUCGGCAGGGCUCUGGGACCCAGGCUCAGAGACCCAGGCUCUGCUCUCUCCUCAGUUUCCGGGAGUCAGGGCUUGCUCUAAGGGAGGAAGUAAACAGGCCUUUCCCUUGCUCCCUCUCCUUUUCCAGGAUGGGGCCCCGGGACCAAAGAGCUUCUGUCUUUCCCUGCCACGCCCCCUCUUGGGUAACAGCAUAAGACCCUGUCUCAAAAAAAGAAAGAAAGAAAGAAAGAGCAAGCUAGCUCUAGGGACCCAAUAAUUGAGGGAUAAAGGCAGAGACUCCCUAGGGACUAGAGAAAUGAUGAGCCAGGUUUCCAUGGUAACUGAUUUCAGUGCAGCCUCUUCCUAGUCUCAGACUGAGGGAGAAUCAAUUUUGGGGGAGACCACAUCUAAUGGAUAAAAGAGCCACAGGAUUACAAAAGGGUGGAAUAGUUGUUACAAGAAGGUCACAUCAUCCUGGCACUGCUCCCAGAACCAGUGGGCCUCGAAGCCCAGCUUGGCACUCUCAUCCUCUGGUGACUCAGGUGGUCCACCUUGAAGCCUCUCCCCUGGGGGCUUCCACACAGCUCUCAAGCUCCCUAGCCUGGUGGCUGCCACAUCCACCUCAGUCCUGGCCCGCAGGAUCUUCACAUCGAUGGCUCGCAGGUAAGCCUGGGGGAGUGGGAGAAGGAAUUAGUCCCAGUUCUGGGGCAUGGGUUUCCCCAGCGUUUCCACAGGCCACUACCUUGUGGUUCAGCCAACCAUGUUUCACUUUAAGACGGAUGGAAUUAUAACGGCUUGCAGUGUAGGCUUCAGAAGCAGACAGACUGCUGCCUAACAUUUCAGCUCUACCACUGAUUAGACAUAUCUUCUUUGAGCCUCAGUCUCUUUGUUUGUAAAACAGGAUUAAAUCACUUACCUCACAGGGUAGCUGUGAGGAUUCUGAAAUGCUGUCUAUUAAGUACUCAGCACAGUGCCUAGCACAGAGGAAGGUCUCAGUAAAUGUUAAGUAUUAAAAUCCAAUCCUAUUAAGCUUUGAACUUCAUAUUUAGGGUACUUCUUUUUUUUUUUUUUUGAAAUGGAGUUUCGCUCUUGUUGUCCAGGAUGGAGU